UUCUGUUUCUGCUAUAUUUUCUUUUGCAUUUUAGCUAAACUAAGACUUGCCCUGCAUGGUGCCAGCUGUAGCACGCACAGCAGAGCCCUAGUCGAUAAGAAGUUGCAAAUCAGUAUUCGAAAAGCACGGAGCCUGCAGGAUCGCAUGCAGCAGCAGCAAUCACCACAGCAGCCGUCGCAGCCCUCAGCCUGCCUCCCAACACAGGCGGGGACUCUCUCUCAGCCAACAAGUGAACAGCCUAUCCCGCUCCAAGUAUUGUUAAGCCAAGAGGCCCAACUGGAAUCCGGCAUGGAUACAGAGUUUGGGGCCAGUUCUUUCUUCCAUUCACCUGCUUCCUGCCAUGAGUCACACUCAUCACUAUCUCCAGAGUCAUCUGCCCCACAGCACAGCUCCCCCAGUAGAUCUGCCUUGAAGCUUCUGACUUCGGUUGAAGUAGACAACAUUGAACCCUCUGCAUUCCACAGGCAAGGUUUACCUAAAGCACCAGGGUGGACUGAGAAGAAUUCUCAUCAUAGUUGGGAGCCAUCGGAUGCCCCAGAGGGUAAGCCGCAAGGCUCUAGGUGUGACAACAGCAGUUGCAGCAAGCUCCCUCCACAAGAAGGAAGAGGCAUUGCUCAAGAACAGCUGUUCCAAGAAAAGAAGGAUCCUGCUAACCCCUCCCCGGUGAUGCCUGGAAUAGCCACCUCUGAGAGGGGUGAUGAACACAGCCUAGGCUGUCGUCCUUCAAAUUCAUCAGCUCAGCCCAGCCUUCCCCUGUAUAGAACCUGCCACCCCAUAAUGCCUGUUGCUUCUUCAUUUGUGCUUCACUGUCCUGAUCCUGUGCAGAAAACUAACCAAUGCCUCCAAGGCCAAAGCCUCAAAACUUCAUUGACUUUAAAAGUGGACAGAGGCAGUGAGGAGACCUAUAGGCCAGAGUUUCCCAGCACAAAGGGGAUUGUCCGUUCUCUGGCUGAGCAGUUCCAGAGGAUGCAGGGUGUCUCCAUGAGGGAUAGUACAGGUUUCAAGGAUAGAAGUUUGUCAGGUAGUCUAAGGAAGAACUCUUCCCCUUCUGAUUCUAAGCCUCCUUUCUCACAGGGUCAAGAGAAAGGCCACUGGCCAUGGGCAAAGCAACAAUCCUCUCUGGAGGGUGGGGAUAGACCACUUUCCUGGGAAGAGUCCACUGAACAUUCUUCUUUUGCCUUAAACUCUGGGCUGCCUAAUGGUGAAAUUUCUAGCGGAGGACAGCCCAGGUUGGCAGAGCCAGACAUAUACCAAGAGAAGCUGUCCCAAGUGAGAGAUGUUAGGUCUAAGGAUCUGGGCAGCAGUACUGACUUGGGGACUUCCUUGCCUUUGGAUUCCUGGGUGAAUAUUACAAGGUUCUGUGAUUCUCAGCUUAAACAUGGGGCACCUAGGCCAGGAAUGAAGUCCUCCCCUCAUGAUUCCCAUACGUGUGUAACCUAUCCAGAGAGAAAUCACAUCCUUUUGCAUCCACAUUGGAACCAAGACACAGAGCAGGAGACCUCAGAAUUGGAGUCUCUGUAUCAGGCCAGUCUUCAGGCUUCUCAAGCUGGCUGUUCUGGAUGGGGGCAGCAGGAUACCGCCUGGCACCCACUUAGCCAAACAGGUAAGAAUGCAACCAGGGGUUGGGGGGAGGGGGGAGGAUCAUAUAAAAGCUGAAAGCAGGGAAAGAUCAGAAGGGAGUGUUCUAUACAGAUAGUAUCCCCAGCUUAGUAGGAGGUAGU
rnacentral:lncRNA from 1 species